rnacentral:ribozyme from 1 species
CUUUAUACGUUUCAUGGGACUUUCACUUCAUUUGUUUGAUUCUUUGCUAUUUCUUUUCCAUCUUUGUAAUCACAAAAAUCGAAAGAAAGCCUUG